GAGUGAAACCACACUGGGGGAGUGGCUGGAAGGAGGUGACACAGCUCAGGACAAGAACUCCCAGACAGAAGCAGGGCAGUGCAAAAGCCAUUGGGAGUGGUGCUGCUUGCUGCAGGCUGAGCACUGUGAGGUCCUGAGCCCUGCUUGGUCCUGCAGGUGCAGAAGAUCAGGAGCUGGUGGAGAUUGCUAAAUGACUGAGCGGAUUUUCUCUGGUUUCCAGCUGACCACAUGGCUCUGCUGAUGAUGGGAGCAGGCUGCACAGGUUCGAGUUAAUGCAGCCCUUAUCAGCCCUGAAUGGACACCAAAAACUGGAGAUAGAUGCUGCAGGCACCACAUCCUAACAUCUUCUGCUGAGACCUGAGGCUCUGCUUCACCUCCUGGGUUGGUGUGGAGUCAGACACCAACCAGCUCCGUGGGGAGGGAAGGGAAACCCAGCUCCUGUGCUGCCCCUGGGGAGCAUCUCUCUUAAUCGAGGCCUGCACACAAAUGUGUGCUCACAUGCUCACAAAGGCAGUGCUUGCCUGUGGCUGCAUGUUCACAGUGUGACAGGCCUUUUAGGCCUCAAGCAAUGUUAUCUGGAAGUGCGAAGUGAACCAAAUCAGGCCCUCUGGUGCGGAGCUGCUUUGCCUCUCAGACUGUGUAUGCUGUGACGUGCUCCUGCUGUGGCUGCCUUCCCUGUGCUUCAGAGCAGAACCACCUGUCCGUCUGCAGACCACUUCAGCUUCUUACAACAUCCUGGAAUAUUUUCUGGCUCUCAGGCUCUUCCUGAGCUCCUGCAGUGUCUCUGUGGAGCAUCUGUGUGGAAGGAGAUGCACAAGGUCUGACCAUCACUUACAUCUUUGGGAGAAGGAUUAUGUCAAAGUGUUGAUGCUGACAGGUUGUUCCUGGCUCCCUGGAGAAGUUGCAGCACCUUCACUGGUGCUCAGCUGGAGACAGGAGCAACCAGAAGAGAGCACAAAGCACAAAUGUCCUGUACAUAGUCAAGGUGCUGCUGCAGGGUGGCAGUUGGUCUGGAUUCCAGUGCAGGAGAGUAAGGUCUUGUGGAUUCUCCUCUUUUGUAACCUUUAAAUACCGAAGUCAUAAAUAAAACCCAGAUGCCAUUGAAUAACAUCUGGAUGAUGAAGA